rnacentral:sRNA from 21 species
GUCAGUAACUCAGGGCUAAAGCCACUGAGCUUGUAAGAAAUUGCAAGCUGUACUGACCAGACCACCUAGCAAUAGGUAGCCGUUAUUUGAGUCACGACACCUCGGAAUGCGAAGCUAGUUCCCCGCUCUGUC